rnacentral:rRNA from 1 species
CCUACGGGAGGCAGCAGUGAGGAAUAUUGGGCAAUGCCCGAAAGGGUGACCCAGCAACGCCGCGUGGAGGAUGAAGGUCGUAAGAUUGUAAACUCCUGUUAGAGGGGAAGAAUAACUAAGUUUGGAGCUUAGUAUGACUGUACCCUCAGAGAAAGCCCCGGCUAACUACGUGC